rnacentral:rRNA from 1 species
GGUUAAGCGACUAAGCGUACACGGUGGAUGCCCUGGCAGUCAGAGGCGAUGAAGGACGUGCUAAUCUGCGAUAAGCGUCGGUAAGGUGAUAUGAACCGUUAUAACCGGCGAUUUCCGAAUGGGGAAACCCAGUGUGUUUCGACACACUAUCAUUAACUGAAUCCAUAGGUUAAUGAGGCGAACCGGGGGAACUGAAACAUCUAAGUACCCCGAGGAAAAGAAAUCAACCGAGAUUCCCCCAGUAGCGGCGAGCGAACGGGGAGCAGCCCAGAGCCUGAAUCAGUGUGUGUGUUAGUGGAAGCGUCUGGAAAGGCGCGCGAUACAGGGUGACAGCCCCGUACACAAAAAUGCACAUGCUGUGAGCUCGAUGAGUAGGGCGGGACACGUGGUAUCCUGUCUGAAUAUGGGGGGACCAUCCUCCAAGGCUAAAUACUCCUGACUGACCGAUAGUGAACCAGUACCGUGAGGGAAAGGCGAAAAGAACCCCGGCGAGGGGAGUGAAAAAGAACCUGAAACCGUGUACGUACAAGCAGUGGGAGCACGCUUCGGCGUGUGACUGCGUACCUUUUGUAUAAUGGGUCAGCGACUUAUAUUCUGUAGCAAGGUUAACCGAAUAGGGGAGCCGAAGGGAAACCGAGUCUUAACUGGGCGUUAAGUUGCAGGGUAUAGACCCGAAACCCGGUGAUCUAGCCAUGGGCAGGUUGAAGGUUGGGUAACACUAACUGGAGGACCGAACCGACUAAUGUUGAAAAAUUAGCGGAUGACUUGUGGCUGGGGGUGAAAGGCCAAUCAAACCGGGAGAUAGCUGGUUCUCCCCGAAAGCUAUUUAGGUAGCGCCUCGUGAAUUCAUCUCCGGGGGUAGAGCACUGUUUCGGCAAGGGGGUCAUCCCGACUUACCAACCCGAUGCAAACUGCGAAUACCGGAGAAUGUUAUCACGGGAGACACACGGCGGGUGCUAACGUCCGUCGUGAAGAGGGAAACAACCCAGACCGCCAGCUAAGGUCCCAAAGUCAUGGUUAAGUGGGAAACGAUGUGGGAAGGCCCAGACAGCCAGGAUGUUGGCUUAGAAGCAGCCAUCAUUUAAAGAAAGCGUAAUAGCUCACUGGUCGAGUCGGCCUGCGCGGAAGAUGUAACGGGGCUAAACCAUGCACCGAAGCUGCGGCAGCGACGCUGAUGCGUUGUUGGGUAGGGGAGCGUUCUGUAAGCCUGUGAAGGUGUGCUGUGAGGCAUGCUGGAGGUAUCAGAAGUGCGAAUGCUGACAUAAGUAACGAUAAAGCGGGUGAAAAGCCCGCUCGCCGGAAGACCAAGGGUUCCUGUCCAACGUUAAUCGGGGCAGGGUGAGUCGACCCCUAAGGCGAGGCCGAAAGGCGUAGUCGAUGGGAAACAGGUUAAUAUUCCUGUACUUGGUGUUACUGCGAAGGGGGGACGGAGAAGGCUAUGUUGGCCGGGCGACGGUUGUCCCGGUUUAAGCGUGUAGGCUGGUUUUCCAGGCAAAUCCGGAAAAUCAAGGCUGAGGCGUGAUGACGAGGCACUACGGUGCUGAAGCAACAAAUGCCCUGCUUCCAGGAAAAGCCUCUAAGCAUCAGGUAACAUCAAAUCGUACCCCAAACCGACACAGGUGGUCAGGUAGAGAAUACCAAGGCGCUUGAGAGAACUCGGGUGAAGGAACUAGGCAAAAUGGUGCCGUAACUUCGGGAGAAGGCACGCUGAUAUGUAGGUGAAGUCCCUCGCGGAUGGAGCUGAAAUCAGUCGAAGAUACCAGCUGGCUGCAACUGUUUAUUAAAAACACAGCACUGUGCAAACACGAAAGUGGACGUAUACGGUGUGACGCCUGCCCGGUGCCGGAAGGUUAAUUGAUGGGGUUAGCCGCAAGCGAAGCUCUUGAUCGAAGCCCCGGUAAACGGCGGCCGUAACUAUAACGGUCCUAAGGUAGCGAAAUUCCUUGUCGGGUAAGUUCCGACCUGCACGAAUGGCGUAAUGAUGGCCAGGCUGUCUCCACCCGAGACUCAGUGAAAUUGAACUCGCUGUGAAGAUGCAGUGUACCCGCGGCAAGACGGAAAGACCCCGUGAACCUUUACUAUAGCUUGACACUGAACAUUGAGCCUUGAUGUGUAGGAUAGGUGGGAGGCUUUGAAGUGUGGACGCCAGUCUGCAUGGAGCCGACCUUGAAAUACCACCCUUUAAUGUUUGAUGUUCUAACGUUGACCCGUAAUCCGGGUUGCGGACAGUGUCUGGUGGGUAGUUUGACUGGGGCGGUCUCCUCCUAAAGAGUAACGGAGGAGCACGAAGGUUGGCUAAUCCUGGUCGGACAUCAGGAGGUUAGUGCAAUGGCAUAAGCCAGCUUGACUGCGAGCGUGACGGCGCGAGCAGGUGCGAAAGCAGGUCAUAGUGAUCCGGUGGUUCUGAAUGGAAGGGCCAUCGCUCAACGGAUAAAAGGUACUCCGGGGAUAACAGGCUGAUACCGCCCAAGAGUUCAUAUCGACGGCGGUGUUUGGCACCUCGAUGUCGGCUCAUCACAUCCUGGGGCUGAAGUAGGUCCCAAGGGUAUGGCUGUUCGCCAUUUAAAGUGGUACGCGAGCUGGGUUUAGAACGUCGUGAGACAGUUCGGUCCCUAUCUGCCGUGGGCGCUGGAGAACUGAGGGGGGCUGCUCCUAGUACGAGAGGACCGGAGUGGACGCAUCACUGGUGUUCGGGUUGUCAUGCCAAUGGCACUGCCCGGUAGCUAAAUGCGGAAGAGAUAAGUGCUGAAAGCAUCUAAGCACGAAACUUGCCCCGAGAUGAGUUCUCCCUGACUCCUUGAGAGUCCUGAAGGAACGUUGAAGACGACGACGUUGAUAGGCCGGGUGUGUAAGCGCAGCGAUGCGUUGAGCUAACCGGUACUAAUGAACCGUGAGGCUUAACCUU